GAUGAACGCUGGCGGCGUGCCUAACACAUGCAAGUCGAGCGAUCUCUUCGGAGAGAGCGGCGGACGGGUGGGUAACGCGUGGAUAACCUGCCCUGUACACACGGAUAACAUACCGAAAGGUAUACUAAUACGGGAUAACAUACGAAAGUCGCAUGGCUUUUGUAUCAAAGCUCCGGCGGUACAGGAUGGACCCGCGUCUGAUUAGCUAGUUGGUAAGGUAAUGGCUUACCAAGGCGACGAUCAGUAGCCGACCUGAGAGGGUGAUCGGCCACACUGGAACUGAGACACGGUCCAGACUCCUACGGGAGGCAGCAGUGGGGAAUAUUGCACAAUAGGCGAAAGCCUGAUGCAGCAACGCCGCGUGAGCGAUGAAGGCCUUCGGGUCGUAAAGCUCUGUCCUCAAGGAAGAUAAUGACGGUACUUGAGGAGGAAGCCCCGGCUAACUACGUGCCAGCCGCCGCCGUAA
rnacentral:rRNA from 1 species